AUUGAACGCUGGCGGCAUGCCUUACACAUGCAAGUCGAACGGCAGCACGGGUGCUUGCACCUGGUGGCGAGUGGCGAACGGGUGAGUAAUACAUCGGAACGUACCUUAUCGUGGGGGAUAACGCAGCGAAAGCUGUGCUAAUACCGCAUACGCCCUGAGGGGGAAAGCGGGGGAUCGCAAGACCUCGCGCGAUUAGGGCGGCCGAUGCCUGAUUAGCUUGUUGGUAGGGUAAAAGCCCACCAAGGCGACGAUCAGUAGCUGGUCUGAGAGGACGAUCAGCCACACUGGGACUGAGACACGGCCCAGACUCCUACGGGAGGCAGCAGUGGGGAAUUUUGGACAAUGGGGGCAACCCUGAUCCAGCAAUGCCGCGUGAGUGAAGAAGGCCUUCGGGUUGUAAAGCUCUUUUGUCAGGGAAGAAACACCGGCUCUAACACAGUCCGGGAAUGACGGUACCUGAAGAAUAAGCACCGGCUAACUACGUGCCAGCAGCCGCCGUAA
rnacentral:rRNA from 1 species